rnacentral:rRNA from 1 species
CUAUAAUGGAGAGUUUGAUCCUGGCUCAGGACGAACGCUGGCGGCGUGCCUAAUACAUGCAAGUCGAGCGGAAGUUGAAGAGCUUGCUCUUCAACUUUAGCGGCGGACGGGUGAGUAACACGUGGGCAACCUGCCCUGCAGAUCGGGAUAACUCCGGGAAACCGGUGCUAAUACCGAAUAGUUUUGGGUCCCUCCUG